rnacentral:rRNA from 1 species
CCCUACCCGAAGUCUAAAUCCGAUUGUGGCUUUGGAUUCAUUCCAUAGCGGGUGAAAGUCCCGUGCGGGUAGGACUAUUGCAUAUUCACACGAUCCUCAGAUGUGCAUGCUAUCGAGUCGGAUUGCUUGAGAAUGCAGUCCAAAGUGGGUGGUAAACUCCAUCCAAGGCUAAAUACUGGCACGAGUCCGAUAGUAGACAAGUACCGUGAGGGAAAGUUGAAAAGUACUCUGAAGAGAGAGUAAAUAGUACGUGAAGCCGAUUGCAGGGAAGCUGGUGGAGUCAAGCUUCGUGCUUGAGGGAUUGAUGCUGGGAGCAAGUGUGUGAAUUGUAUGCGGGGUCGGUCAACUUGGAAAGAGUUGAGCGUGUUCUGAAUGCGCUUCAAGUCAUUCUGGGUAGAGUGUUAUCGAGCUGAUCCCGCUUUACUACUCUCGGUAUUGUAUUCCUCGCUGCACAGGCCACAGUCAAUAAGUGCAUGCAGUGUGAUGGCCUAACUGUGCUUCGGUGGGUGCAAGCUCUCCGUGUGCAGGAUGGCAGGUACUGUCCUCAGGCCUCGUGUCUGUUGAUAGUUGUUGUGGUUUCGACCGGCUGGU